rnacentral:rRNA from 1 species
CUUGACACUGAACACUGGUCCUUGAUGUGUAGGAUAGGUGGGAGGCUUUGAAGCGUGGACGCCAGUCUGCGUGGAGCCGUCCUUGAAAUACCACCCUUUAAUGGCUGGUGUUCUAACGUAGACCCGUAAUCCGGGUUGCGGACAGUGUCUGGUGGGUAGUUUGACUGGGGCGGUCUCCUCCCAAAGAGUAACGGAGGAGCACGAAGGUUAGCUAAUCCUGGUCGGACAUCAGGAGGUUAGUGCAAUG